rnacentral:rRNA from 1 species
UACGGAGGGUGCGAGCGUUAAUCGGAAUUACUGGGCGUAAAGGGUGCGUAGGUGGUUUGGUAAGUUAUCUGUGAAAUUCCUGGGCUUAACCUGGGACGGUCAGAUGAUACUGCUGAACUCGAGUAUGGGAGAGGGUAGUGGAAUUUCCGGUGUAGCGGUGAAAUGCGUAGAGAUCGGAAGGAACACCAGUGGCGAAGGCGGCUACCUGGCCCAAUACUGACACUGAGGCACGAAAGCGUGGGGAGCAAACAGG